GUUCAACCCCGGGGUUGAAAUUUCAACCCUGCUAGCCGAAGUAGGGCUGAAAUUUCAAUCCCGGGAUUGAAC